GUUAAGCGACUAAGCGUACACGGUGGAUGCCCUGGCAGUCAGAGGCGAUGAAGGACGUGCUAAUCUGCGAUAAGCGUCGGUAAGGUGAUAUGAACCGUUAUAACCGGCGAUUUCCGAAUGGGGAAACCCAGUGUGAUUCGUCACACUAUCAUUAACUGAAUCCAUAGGUUAAUGAGGCGAACCGGGGGAACUGAAACAUCUAAGUACCCCGAGGAAAAGAAAUCAACCGAGAUUCCCCCAGUAGCGGCGAGCGAACGGGGAGGAGCCCAGAGCCUGAAUCAGUGUGUGUGUUAGUGGAAGCGUCUGGAAAGGCGCGCGAUACAGGGUGACAGC
rnacentral:rRNA from 1 species